GACGUAGGGCGCGAGCGUUGUCCGGAUUUAUUGGGCGUAAAGAGCUCGUAGGCGGCUUGUCGCGUCGGCUGUGAAAACCCGCGGCUCAACUGUGGGCGGGCAGCUGAUACGGGCAGGCUGGAGUUCGGCAGGGGAGACUGGAAUUCCUGGUGUAGCGGUGAGAUGCGCAGAUAUCAGGAGGAACACCGGUGGCGAAGGCGGGUCUCUGGGCCGAUACUGACGCUGAGGAGCGAAAGCGUGGGGAGCGAACAGG
rnacentral:rRNA from 1 species